rnacentral:tRNA from 1 species
AGGGGUGAAGGAAACCGGUAAUCCACGGGCCUCCAAAACCUUGAGAACGGGGUUCGAUUCCCCGCACCCCUGCCA